GGAGAGUACAGCCCAGUGGUAGAGCACGUGCUUAGCAUGCACAAAGUCCUGGGUUCAAUCCCCAGCACCUCCA
rfam:Camelus ferus unplaced genomic scaffold scaffold1907, whole genome shotgun sequence.